CUAGUACAGUAUCCCCGCUAUUUUGGAGAUCCAGAAGAUCUAGUUGGUUCUUAGGCCUGGAGAUCAAUCACGUUGCCUAUUGUGGAGAAGAUAUUGUGGAGAAGUCGGUGGAAGAAUUUGCAUCUCUACAGCUAUUGAGCUAGAGGCAAAACUCUGUUAAUAAAAAUAGGAUCGCCAACACGAUCGCCAACGUAUGAUGAAGGAUAUGGCACAACAACAAGAAGAAGAAAGCUCCAAAAGACCUCACCAGAGGAAGAAUGCAAUUCAAAGAAUAUAAAGGAAGUUGAGAAGACCACCAUUCAUCUGCCCUCUUUCCUGUUUCUUUCUUUCUUUCUUUUUUAAAAUUUAUGUUGUAUGGAAGAAUAAACAGUUCAACUU